UGUGUGAGAAAGGUGUGGAAACAUUACACAUUUUGCAAUAUAGAAACUGAGGAUCAAGCAAAAAUACAUUUCCUCAGGCCACAGGUAAAAAAGUGGCAGAACUCUGAUUGGAAAGUUUAAAAGCAGGGCUCAAAAUCUCUUUUUUAUUAAAUGAAGACGAGGAGGUUUCAAGGCAGAUGGAGGUGCCUGGCCUGGAAAUUUACCUAUGCCAGGCAGGUAAACAUCUUCCGCAUGUCAAGAUGAGCCACAGCAGUAUGCAGCCACUACUGCUUUGUGACAGCUUCAGGUAUGUUUCUCUGCACCUCUUGGGGAAGACGGAAAACUGCACCAAAUGUGCCAAUAAUUGGUGUCGGGAGUGAAGAUGCCCUAAGGGAAGACACCCCCUCAGUACCUGCAUGGCUUUGAAUCCUGAAGCAACAACUCCUCUCAUAGGAGAGUCUGACCCCAGACUCCAAAGUUUACCCUGCUAUUCUAAAGUGAAGUGCUCCUUUAUCUUGCCAGAACUGGCCAAAACUGGUUCUUCUGGCAUUUGCUGAUCUCUCAAUCCGGAGACAUGAACGAGUUGAGGUGGAUAAAGUAGAAGGAAUAUUGUAAGGGUCUUCUUCAUGGCAGCGUGUCCUCCAGCCUUGUAUGAGGGGGAGAGAGUCUGCUUUUUCCCUGUUUCAAGCCAAGUACAAGAGGCUUCAGAAAGCAUGGCCCAGUGAGGCAAGCUCAGCAGUGCACUCACUGCAGACACAGUGAGUGACGUUUGAACAUAUGAGGACCAGAAGCUUCCUCAGAAAGUUCGCUAGUCCAAAGAUCCCUGCUCAAAAUUGGUAACUAACUUAACAUUGAAGAUGAUCCUUCAUUAAAAAUUUCUCUGAGAAAAACCAGGAAGUUACCAGCCCAGAGAGAGCUGGAGCAAGUCCACUCUUGGCAGCAUCUCCACGUGCACCCAAGCUCCAGAGAGUCCUGGGAAGAGGCAAUAUUGGCUGUUCUAGAGCUUCAGAAGUACAGGAGAGGAAGAAAGCUGAAGCGUCUCUGGAUUCCAAAGAACACAAGAGUUGCCCCCAUGAGGCCAGCUCAGCAGCAAACUCACUGCAGACACAAUGAGUGUCCUUCAAUCUUCUGAGUCAAGAUACUUCCUCAGGAGAUUCACUAGCCCAAGAUGCCUGUUCAGAGUUGAGAUCAAACUUGAUAGCACUGGAGAAAAUGCUUCAUUAAAAUUUUCUCUGGGAACAACCAGGGAGGUUACAAACACAGAGACAGCCGAGCAAGCCCUGUCCUUGGCAUUUUCUGUGUGCUCCCUGAACGCACGUGGAGGCUUGGUAAGCAGUGGUGCUGGCUUCACAGGAGACUCAAAAACCACAGGAUCAAGAGGAAAGCCUCUGCAUUCCAAAGAACACACUCACUGCAUGGAGAACAUUGAAAUAUCUGUUGUCUACCCAAAAAAAAAUAGUGGCGAUCAAAAUUAAAUUACUUUCCUGAAGCCUCAAGGCCAGUAAGUGACAGAGCUAAGAUUGGAAUCUAGAAAAGCAGGACCCCAAAUCUGUGCUCUCAAGUAUAAGGAGGAGGAGGUUUCACACCAGUUGAAGGUGCCCACCCCAGGUCCUUCCUAGCAGAAGAUGGAUCACUUGCUACUGACCUGUUCUGUGGAUAUUCCAGUGCUUUCAGUGGAGUCAUACCGACAUCACUUAAUUCUCCCACAGGUGAUGUAUGUAAACAUGUGCAUGUUUUAGUGAGGAUAAUCUCAUCCCCAGCUUCACUGUGGUUGCAUAAACCAAACUGGCCAAAAAGAGUGCAUGCUUUUAUUGGCUUUGUUGAUAAGUAACCUUGUGUUCUUUGGAAUCCUAACUCUAUUAUUACCUUGUGUUCUUUAGAAUCCUAACUCUAUUAUUACCUUGUGUUCUUUGGAAUCCUAACUCUGUUAUUACCUUGUGUUCUUUGGAAUCCUAACUCUAUUAUUACAGUUAAUAAUAUAUCGUAACUAAACCUGCUGUCUUGGUUUCUGCUCACAGGUUGAUACCUUGUUACUGCUCUCAUCAGUGGUAUUUCUGAUGCUAUUUUUCUUAAGUGUCUUGUCAAAACAGAAACAUGGGGUCAAGGUUCCCUGGUGUAAUGCCUUUGGGCAAAGGUUUAGUCAGGUUUUUGUUCUGUGGUCUAGGCAACUAGGGAAUGUAGGCAAGAUCCUUUCAGACAACCAAUCUGCAAUUCUUUGGAGUUGGUUAGAGGAUGUUUUUGGAAAUAUUCUGAACCCAUCAGA